rnacentral:rRNA from 1 species
GUAGGCGGCAAGCGUUACCCCGGAAUUACUGGGCGUAAAGAGUGCGUAGGUGGUAAGGUAAGUUUUUGUUAAAAUACACAGGCUCAACCUGUGGACCGCGAAAAUACUGCCAUACUUGAGAAAGUUAGGGGGUACCGGAACAGAUGGUGAAGCAGUGAAAUGCGUUGAUAUCAUCUGGAACACCCAAGGCGAGGGCAGGUACCUGGGGCUUUUCUGACACUGUUGCACGAAAGCGUGGGGAGCGAAGCGGAUUAGAUACCCGCGUAGUCCACGCCGUAAACUAUGGACACUAGAUAUCGGGCUGGUGACGGUUCGGUGUCGUAAGCUAACGCGUUAAGUGUCCCGCCUGGGGAGUACGGCCGCAAGGCUA